AGCAGGGGAAACUGGGAGUAAUACCUCAUAGUAUUCAUAAACUGCAUGGUUAAUGGAUUAAAGCUGAGGCGCUUAAAGAUGGUCGUGCGUCUGAUUAGCUAGUUGGUAGGGUAACGGCUCACCAAGGCCACUAUCAGUAGCUGGUCUGAGAGGAUGAACAGCCACACUGGGACUGAGAUACGGCCCAGACUCCUCCGGGAGGCAGCAGUGGGGAAUUUUCCGCAAUGGGCGAAAGCCUGACGGAGCAAUACCGCGUGAGGGAUGAAGGCCCGUGGGUCGUAAACCUCUUUUCCUAAGGAAGAAGUUCUGACGGUACUUAGGGAAUAAGCAUCGGCUAAUUCCGUGCCAGCAGCCGCGGUAAUACGGGAGAUGCAAGCGUUAUCCGGAAUCACUGGGCGUAAAGCGUCUGUAGGUGGUUAACUAAGUCUGUUGUUAAAAACUGAAGCUUAACUUCAGGGGUGCGACAGAAACUGGUAAACUUGAGUAUGGUAGGGGUAGGAGGAAUUUCUAGUGUAGCGGUGAAAUGCGUAGAUAUUAGGAAGAACACCAUUAGCGAAGGCGUCCUACUGGGCCAUAACUGACACUGAGAGACGAAAGCUAGGGGAGCAAACGGGAUUAGAUACCCCGGUAGUCCUAGCCGUAAACGAUGGAUACUAGAUGUUGCGAGUUUACUCGCGGUGUCGUAGCUAACGCGUUAAGUAUCCCGCCUGGGGAGUACGCACGCAAGUGUGAAACUCAAAGGAAUUGACGGGGGCCCGCACAAGCGGUGGAGCAUGUGGUUUAAUUCGAUGCAACACGAAGAACCUUACCAGGAUUUGACAUACUAGGAAUUUCCUUUAACCGGGAAAGUGCCCUCGGGAACCUAGAUACAGGUGGUGCAUGGCUGUCGUCAGCUCGUGUUGUGAGAUGUUGGGUUAAGUCCCGCAACG
rnacentral:rRNA from 1 species